rnacentral:piRNA from 1 species
UGGCAGCCACAAUGUUUUCACUACAAAC